AGUGCCUACGGGGGGCAGCAGUGGGGGAUAUUGCACAAUGGGGGAAACCCUGAUGCAGCGACACCGCGUGGGUGAAGAAGCGCUUCGGCGUGUAAAGCCCUAUCAGUGGGGGAGAAAAAGGACGGUACCCAAAGAAGAAGCACCGGCUAAAUACGUGCCAGCAGCCGCGGUAAUACGUAUGGUGCAAGCGUUAUCCGGAAUGACUGGGUGUGAAGGGAGCGUAGACGGUUGGACAAGUCUGAUGUGAAAGCGCACGGCUCAACUGUGGUAGUGCAUUGGAAACUGUAGAACUAGAGUAUCGGAGG
rnacentral:rRNA from 1 species